AGAUUGAACGCUGGCGGCAGGCCUAACACGUGCAAGUCGAGCGGUAGAGAGGUGCUUGCACCUCUUGAGAGCGGCGGACGGGUGAGUAAUGCCUAGGAAUCUGCCUAGUGGUGGGGGAUAACGUUCGGAAACGGACGCUAAUACCGCAUACGUCCUACGGGAGAAAGCGGGGGACCUUCGGGCCUCGCGCCAUUAGAUGAGCCUAGGUCGGAUUAGCUAGUUGGUGAGGUAAUGGCUCACCAAGGCGACGAUCCGUAACUGGUCUGAGAGGAUGAUCAGUCACACUGGAACUGAGACACGGUCCAGACUCCGUACGGGAGGCAGCAGUGGGGAAUAUUGGACAA
rnacentral:rRNA from 1 species